GUUGAUAGAUGGGAAUUGUUUUAGAAUUUUUAAGCAAUAUGUUGCAUUUUUUAAAUAUAUUUUAUAAGAACUACUAUUUUAGGAAAGUCGUCAUUUUUCUAGAGAAAUAUUGUAGAUUUGGGAUUGUGAUUGAAAAAUUAGGAUAACAAGAGUUUUUGUUGAUAGAUGGGCAUUCUUUUAGAAUGUUUGAUCAAUAGAUUUAAUUUUAAAUAAUAUUUUUAAAAAUUGCUGUUUUGGGAAAAUCAUCAAUUCUGUGUAGAAAUUUUGUAGAUUUGAAAUUGCGAUUAGGCAAUUGAGAUAACAAGAGUUUUCGUUGAUAGAUGGGCAUUUGAUAAGAAUUUUUGAAUACUAUUUUGUAUUUUUCAAAUAAAUAUUUCUGAAACUGCUAUUUUAAGAAAGUUAUCAGUUUGUACAUAAAUAUUGUCGAUUUGGGAUUGCGAUUGAGAAAUUAGAGUAACAAGAGUUUUUGUUGAUAUUUGGACGUUCUUUUAGAAUUUUUGAGCAAUAUGUUGCAUUUUUAAAGAAAUUUUCUACAAACUGAUAUUUAAGGAAACUUAUCAUUUUUGUAAAGAAAUAUUGUAGAUUUGGGAUUAUGAUUGAGAAAUUAGGAUAUCAAUAGUUUUUGUUGAUAGAUGGACAUUGUUUUAGAAUUUUAAAGCAAUAGGUUGCAUUUUUUAAAGAAAUUUUCUAAAAACUACUAUUUUAGGAAAAUUAUUACUUUGUAGAGAAAUAUUGUAGAUUUGGGAUUGUGAUUGAGAAAUUAGGAUAACAAGAGUUUUUGUUGAUAGAUGGACAUUCUUUUAGAUUUUUUAAACAAUAGGUUGCAUCUUUUAAAUAAAUGUUCUAAUAACUUCUAUUUUAGGAAAAUUAUUAUUUUUGUAGAGAAAUAUGAUAGAUUUGAGAUUGUGAUUUAGAAAUUAGAAUAACAAGAACUUUUUUUUAUAGAUGAGCAUUAUUUAAGAAUUUUUGAUCAAUACGUUUUAUUUUUAAAUAAAUUUUCUAAAAAGUGCUAUUUUGGGAAUGUUAUCAAUUUUGUAGAGAAUAAUGUAGAUUUGCGAUUAUGAUUGGGAAAGUAGAAUAACAAGAGUUUUUGCUGAUCGAUGUGCAUUCUCUUAAAAAUUUUGAUCAAUAUGUUGCAUUUUUAAUGAAUUAGGAUAACAAGAGUUUUUUUGAUAGAUGAGCAUUUUUUUAGAAUUUUUGAUCAAUAGGUUUUAUUUUUAAAUAAAUUUUCUAAAAAGUGGUACAUGGAGAAAGUUAUCAAUUUUGUACAUAAAUAUUGUAGAUUUGUGAUUGUGAUUGAAAAAUUAGGAUAACAAGAAUUUUUGUUGAUCGAUGGCCAUUCUUUUAGAAUUUUUGACCAAUAUGUUGCAUUUUUAAAUAUAUUUUAUAAAAAUUAUUAUUUUUGGACUGUCAUCAUUUUUGUAGGGAUAAAUAUUGUAGAUUUGAGAUUAUGAUUGAGAAAUUAGGAUAACAAGAGUUUUUGUUGAUAGAGAGGCUUUUUUUAGAAUGUCUGAUAAAUAGGUUUCAUUUUAAAUAAAUUUUUUAAAAAUUGCUUUUUUUGAGAAAAUCAUCAAUUCUGUAUAGAAAUAUUGUAGAUUUGAAAUUGUGAUUAUGCAAUUGAGAUAACAAGAGUUUUUGUUGAUAGAUGGGCAUUUGAUAAGAAUUUUUGAAUACUAUUUUGUAUUUUUCAAAUAAAUAUUUCUGAAACCGCUAUUUUAAGAAAGUUAUCAGUUUGUACAGAAAUAUUGUCGAUUUGGGAUUACGAUUGAGAAAUUAGAGUAACAAGAGUUUUUGUUAAUAUAUGGACAUUCUUUUAGAAUUUUUGAGCAAUACAGUUUUAAAGAAAUUUUCUAAAAACUGCUAUUUUAGGAAACUUAUCAUUUUUGUAAAGAAAUAUUGUAGAUUUGAAAUUGUGAUUAAGCAAUGGGAAUAACAAGAGUUUUUGUUGAUAGAUGGGAAUUGUUUUAGAAUUUUUAAGCAAUAUGUUGCAUUUUUUAAAUAUAUUUUAUAAGAACUACUAUUUUAGGAAAGUCGUCAUUUUUCUAGAGAAAUAUUGUAGAUUUGGGAUUGUGAUUGAAAAAUUAGGAUAACAAGAGUUUUUGUUGAUAGAUGGGCAUUCUUUUAGAAUGUUUGAUCAAUAGAUUUAAUUUUAAAUAAUAUUUUUAAAAAUUGCUGUUUUGGGAAAAUCAUCAAUUCUGUGUAGAAAUUUUGUAGAUUUGAAAUUGCGAUUAGGCAAUUGAGAUAACAAGAGUUUUCGUUGAUAGAUGGGCAUUUGAUAAGAAUUUUUGAAUACUAUUUUGUAUUUUUCAAAUAAAUAUUUCUGAAACUGCUAUUUUAAGAAAGUUAUCAGUUUGUACAUAAAUAUUGUCGAUUUGGGAUUGCGAUUGAGAAAUUAGAGUAACAAGAGUUUUUGUUGAUAUUUGGACGUUCUUUUAGAAUUUUUGAGCAAUAUGUUGCAUUUUUAAAGAAAUUUUCUACAAACUGAUAUUUAAGGAAACUUAUCAUUUUUGUAAAGAAAUAUUGUAGAUUUGGGAUUAUGAUUGAGAAAUUAGGAUAUCAAUAGUUUUUGUUGAUAGAUGGACAUUGUUUUAGAAUUUUAAAGCAAUAGGUUGCAUUUUUUAAAGAAAUUUUCUAAAAACUACUAUUUUAGGAAAAUUAUUACUUUGUAGAGAAAUAUUGUAGAUUUGGGAUUGUGAUUGAGAAAUUAGGAUAACAAGAGUUUUUGUUGAUAGAUGGACAUUCUUUUAGAUUUUUUAAACAAUAGGUUGCAUCUUUUAAAUAAAUGUUCUAAUAACUUCUAUUUUAGGAAAAUUAUUAUUUUUGUAGAGAAAUAUGAUAGAUUUGAGAUUGUGAUUUAGAAAUUAGAAUAACAAGAACUUUUUUUUAUAGAUGAGCAUUAUUUAAGAAUUUUUGAUCAAUACGUUUUAUUUUUAAAUAAAUUUUCUAAAAAGUGCUAUUUUGGGAAUGUUAUCAAUUUUGUAGAGAAUAAUGUAGAUUUGCGAUUAUGAUUGGGAAAGUAGAAUAACAAGAGUUUUUGCUGAUCGAUGUGCAUUCUCUUAAAAAUUUUGAUCAAUAUGUUGCAUUUUUAAUUAUAUUUUAUAAAAAUUAUUAUUUUUGGACUGUCAUCAUUUUUGUAGGGAUAAAUAUUGUAGAUUUGAGAUUAUUAUUGAGAAAUUGGGAUAACAAGAGUUUUUAUUGAUAGAUGGGCAUUCUUUUAGAAUGUUUGAUCAAUAUGUUUAAUUUUAAUUAAAUUUUUUAAAAAUUGCUUUUUUGGGAAAAUCAUCAAUUCUGUAUAGAAAUAUUGUAGAUUUGAAAUUGUGAUUAAGCAAUUGAGAUAACAAGAGUUUUUGUUGAUAGAUGGACAUUUGAUAAGAAUUUUUGAAUACUAUUUUGUAUUUUUCAAAUAAAUAUUUCUGAAACCGCUAUUUUAAAAAAGUUAUCAGUUUGUACCGAAAUAUUGUCGAUUUGAGAUUGGGAUUGAGAAAUUAGAGUAACAAAAGUUUUUGUUGAUAUAAGAACAUUCUUUUAGAAUUUUUGAGCAAUACGUUGCAUUUUUAAAGAAAUUUUCUAAAAACUGCUAUUUUAGGAAACUUAUCAUUUUUGUAAAGAGAUAUUGUAGAUUUGGGAUUGUGAUUAAGCAACGGGAAUAACAAGAGUUUUUGUUGAUAGAUGGGAAAUGUUUUAGAAUUUUUAAACAAUAUGUUGCAUUUUUUAAUUAUAUUUUAUAAGAACUACUAUUUUUGGAAAGUCGUCAUUUUUGUAGAGAAAUAUUGUAGAUUUGGGAUUGUGAUUGAGAAAUUAGGUAACAAGAGUUUUUGUCGAUAGAUGGGCAUUCUUUUAGAAUGUUUGAUCAAUAGGUUUAAUUUUAAAUAAUAUUUUUAAAAAUUGCUUUUUUGGGAAAAUCAUCAAUUCUGUGUAGAAAUAUUGUAGAUUUGAAAUUGCGAUUAGGCAAUUGAGAUAACAAGAGUUUUUGUCGGUAGAUGGGCAUUUGAUAAGAAUUUUUGAAUACUAUUUUGUAUUUUUCAAAUAAAUAUUUCUAAAACAGCUAUUUUAAAAAAGUUAUCAGUUUGUACAUAAAUAUUGUCGAUUUGGGAUUGCGAUUGAGAAAUUAGAGUAACAAGAGUUUUUGUUGAUAUUUGGACAUUCUUUUAGAAUUUUUGAGCAAUAUGUUGUAUUUUAAAGAAAUUUUCUAAAAACUGCUAUUUUAGGAAACAUAUCAUUUUUGUAAAGAGAUAUUGUAGAUUUGGGAUUGUGAUUGAGAAAUUAGGAUAUCAAUAGUUUUUGUUGAUAGAUGGGCAUUGUUUUAGAAUUUUUAAGCAAUAGGUUGCAUUUUUUAAAGAAAUUUUCUAAAAACUGCUAUUUUAGGAAAGUUAUUAUUUUUGUAGAGAAAUAUUGUAGAUUUGAGAUUGUGAUUUAGAAAUUAGGAUAACAAGAACUUUUUUUUAUAGAUGAGCAUUAUUUAAGAGUUUUUGAUCAAUACGUUUUAUGUUUAAAUAAAUUUUCUAAAAAGUGCUAUUUUGGGAAAGUUAUCAAUUUUGUAGAGAAAUAAUGUAGAUUUGCGAUUAUGAUUGGGAAAUU
rnacentral:lncRNA from 1 species